CUUCUCUUAGACGCACCCUCACUCUCAUUUUUCACACAAUCUCAAAACCAUGUCGUUGGAGCUCUCAACCAUCAAAGCUUGCUUGCCAGGUUCUUGACGAAAGCAAGUUCGUUCUUUCGAAGUAGAUUGGAGACUGAGGAGAAGCAAGUGGUCAGACUAAUGUUGUAGUGGAAGCUCUGUCAUUUGGAGAAGAGUUGAAGUUGUGAAGAACAGUGACAAUGUGUACCUUGUAUCAAGAACCCAGCUGAAUAAAGAGAAAAAAUUGGUCAAAAUUUUAAGUAAGGUAAGCUGGGAUUUCUUUCAAGGGUAUGAAGUCAUGAUACUAUAAAUAUGAAAUUUGGGAUGUUUGAAUUAAGUUGCAAAGCUUUAGGUGUAAUCAUGGUUCGAUGUUUUCUGGAAGCUAAGGAAUGAAUUUGUCAGAGUCAUUAUCACAAGUUCAUGUAAUUUGGCAUAGUUAACGGUUAAGGCAUUAAGCCAAUGGGAUAAUUAUAAGUUUGUUUGUGGUAUAUAUGAAAACUAUGAGUUGGGACCUGGUUAUGCGUACACCUUGUGUGUUAAUGGAUGUCAUAGAGGUGUAG
rnacentral:lncRNA from 1 species